CUUCAUUCAAUAUUUUUACAUUAAAGCCCAAGCACUUACAAAAUCAUCACACAACUCUGUUUCUUGAAUAUUAGAGCUUCCAAUAAUCAAUCUCUUUCAACAUUUCACUAAAUUCUUCUCUUUCUCCAUCACCAUUCAUUAUUGAUUUCCCUUUCAAGAAUUCAAUUCUCUUGUUGACAGCUUCAAUCUUGGAAUUCAAUUUCGACAAAACAUCUUUGAGAUUAUUUUCA
rnacentral:lncRNA from 1 species